rnacentral:rRNA from 1 species
GGCAGGGGCGGGCUGCUUACACAUGCAGUCGACGGUGAAGCAGAGCUUGCUCUGUGGAUCAGUGGCGAACGGGUGAGUAACACGUGAGCAACCUGCCCCUGACUCUGGGAUAAGCGCUGGAAACGGCGUCUAAUACUGGAUAUGUGACGUGACCGCAUGGUCUGCGUCUGGAAAGAAUUUCGGUUGGGGAUGGGCUCGCGGCCUAUCAGCUUGUUGGUGAGGUAAUGGCUCACCAAGGCGUCGACGGGUAGCCGGCCUGAGAGGGUGACCGGCCACACUGGGACUGAGACACGGCCCAGACUCCUACGGGAGGCAGCAGUGGGGAAUAUUGCACAAUGGGCGAAAGCCUGAUGCAGCAACGCCGCGUGAGGGAUGACGGCCUUCGGGUUGUAAACCUCUUUUAGCAGGGAAGAAGCGAAAGUGACGGUACCUGCAGAAAAAGCGCCGGCUAACUACGUGCCAGCAGCCGCGGUAAUACGUAGGGCGCAAGCGUUAUCCGGAAUUAUUGGGCGUAAAGAGCUCGUAGGCGGUUUGUCGCGUCUGCUGUGAAAUCCGGGAGGCUCAACCUCCGGCCUGCAGUGGGUACGGGCAGACUAGAGUGCGGUAGGGGGAGAUUGGAAAUUCCUGGUGUAGCGGUGGAAAUGCGCAGAUAUCAGGAGGAACACCGAUGGCGAAAGCAGAUCUCUGGGGCCGUAACUGACGCUGAGAGCGAAAGGGUGGGGCAGCAAACAGCUUAGAUACCCCUGGUAGUCCACCCCCGUAAACGUUUGGGAACUAGUUGUGGGGUCCAUUCCACGGAUUCCGUGACGCAGCUACGCAUGAGUUCCCUGCCCUGGGGAGUACUGUCCGCACGCUACACUCAGAGGAUUGACGGUGACCCGCCACUAGCUGUCUGGACAUGCGAUAUCGAUGCACGCGAUAUCCUACAGCCUUGACAUAUACCAGGACGGCCAAAAUGGUCACUCUUUGGAGACUCGUAACAGUGGUGCAUUGCUGUCAUCCAUCUCAGUCUGCAUGCUAGUAUACGACACGCAGUCAUCGUCUA